GACAGAAAGCGCGCUAGAUACAAGCGCACGCGCCAGAUCUGCACACCUCCAAUACUGCUCAUGCAGAAUGGGAAAAGAAAAAGGAGCGAAUGCCUGCAAUGUGAGAAAGCGCAACCACAAGUGCUCCCAUCUUGAAACUGUGAUACCUUCAUCCUGAGUUCUACACCAUCUAGCCUACAUGCACAAAACAGCUCAAAAUAGCGUGAAAUCCGAAAUAGUCAGGCAAUCACUGCAUGAACAUAAGGAGAAGUCCAUACUCAGUCUGAAUAGUUGAGACAACAUUCCCUGUGGUCUGUGGGGACCUGUUGCGCGCGAACCCCCUGAGGAAUAAGCCGCCAUGAGAGUGGCGCGUGCGGCUCAAUAUCUGUUAAGC